GACGAACGCUGGCGGUAUGCUUAACACAUGCAAGUCGAACGAGAAGUUUUUUAUUGAACCUUCGGGGGAUAUAAGAGACAGACAGUGGCGAACGGGUGAGUAACGCGUGGGCAACCUACCUAUCGGAGCGGGAUAGCCUCGAGAAAUCGGGAGUAAAACCGCAUAACACGGAUAUAUCGCAUGAUGAAUCCGUCAAAACUCCGGUGCCGAUAGAUGGGCCCGCGUCUGAUUAGCUAGUUGGUAAGGUAAGGGCUUACCAAGGCAACGAUCAGUAGCCGGUGUGAGAGGGCGAACGGCCACACUGGAACUGAGACACGGUCCAGACUCUACGGGAGGCAGCAGUGGGGAAUAUUGCGCAAUGGGGGCAACCCUGACGCAGCAAUACCGCGUGAGUGAAGAAGGUUUUCGGAUCGUAAAGCUCUGU
rnacentral:rRNA from 1 species